AACGAACGCUGGCGGCAGGCCUAACACAUGCAAGUCGAGCGUGCCCUUCGGGGUGAGCGGCGGACGGGUGAGUAACGCGUGGGAACGUGCCCUUCUCUGCGGAAUAGCCUCGGGAAACUGAGAGUAAUACCGCAUACGCCCUUUGGGGGAAAGAUUUAUCGGAGAAGGAUCGGCCCGCGUUGGAUUAGGUAGUUGGUGGGGUAAUGGCCCACCAAGCCGACGAUCCAUAGCUGGUUUGAGAGGAUGAUCAGCCACACUGGGACUGAGACACGGCCCAGCCUCCUACGGGAGGCAGCAGUGGGGAAUCUUAGACAAUGGGGGCAACCCUGAUCUAGCCAUGCCGCGUGAGUGAUGAAGGCCUUAGGGUUGUAAAGCUCUUUCAGCUGGGAAGAUAAUGACGGUACCAGCAGAAGAAGCCCCGGCUAACUCCGUG
rnacentral:rRNA from 1 species